GACGAACGCUGGCGGCGUGCUUAACACAUGCAAGUCGAACGGAAAGGCCCUGCUUUUGUGGGGUGCUCGAGUGGCGAACGGGUGAGUAACACGUGAGUAACCUGCCCUUGACUUUGGGAUAACUUCAGGAAACUGGGGCUAAUACCGGAUAGGAGCUCCUGCUGCAUGGUGGGGGUUGGAAAGUUUCGGCGGUUGGGGAUGGACUCGCGGCUUAUCAGCUUGUUGGUGGGGUAGUGGCUUACCAAGGCUUUGACGGGUAGCCGGCCUGAGAGGGUGACCGGCCACAUUGGGACUGAGAUACGGCCCAGACUCCUACGGGAGGCAGCAGUGGGGAAUAUUGCACAAUGGGCGGAAGCCUGAUGCAGCAACGCCGCGUGCGGGAUGACGGCCUUCGGGUUGUAAACCGCUUUCGCCUGUGACGAAGCGUGAGUGACGGUAAUGGGUAAAGAAGCACCGGCUAACUACGUGCCAGCAGCCGCGGUGAUACGUAGGGUGCGAGCGUUGUCCGGAUUUAUUGGGCGUAAAGGGCUCGUAGGUGGUUGAUCGCGUCGGAAGUGUAAUCUUGGGGCUUAACCCUGAGCGUGCUUUCGAUACGGGUUGACUUGAGGAAGGUAGGGGAGAAUGGAAUUCCUGGUGGAGCGGUGGAAUGCGCAGAUAUCAGGAGGAACACCAGUGGCGAAGGCGGUUCUCUGGGCCUUUCCUGACGCUGAGGAGCGAAAGCGUGGGGAGCGAACAGGCUUAGAUACCCUGGUAGUCCACGCUGUAAACGGUGGGUACUAGGUGUGGGGUCCAUUCCACGGGUUCCGUGCCGUAGCUAACGCUUUAAGUACCCCGCCUGGGGAGUACGGCCGCAAGGCUAAAACUCAAAGGAAUUGACGGGGCCCCGCACAAGCGGCGGAGCAUGCGGAUUAAUUCGAUGCAACGCGUAGAACCUUACCUGGGUUUGACAUGGAUCGGGAGCGCUCAGAGAUGGGUGUGCCUCUUUUGGGGUCGGUUCACAGGUGGUGCAUGGCUGUCGUCAGCUCGUGUCGUGAGAUGUUGGGUUAAGUCCCGCAACGAGCGCAACCCUUGUUCACUGUUGCCAACACGUUAUGGUGGGGACUCAGUGGAGACCGCCGGGGUCAACUCGGAGGAAGGUGGGGAUGACGUCAAGUCAUCAUGCCCCUUAUGUCCAGGGCUUCACGCAUGCUACAAUGGCUGGUACAGAGAGUGGCGAGCCUGUGAGGGUGAGCGAAUCUCGGAAAGCCGGUCUCAGUUCGGAUUGGGGUCUGCAACUCGACCUCAUGAAGUCGGAGUCGCUAGUAAUCGCAGAUCAGCAACGCUGCGGUGAAUACGUUCCCGGGGCU
rnacentral:rRNA from 1 species